CACGUAGUUAGCCGUGGCUUCCUCCUCAGGUACCGUCAUUAUCGUCCCUGAAGACAGAGCUUUACAACCCGAAGGCCGUCAUCACUCACGCGGCGUUGCUGCAUCAGGGUUUCCCCCCAUUGUGCAAUAUUCCCCACUGCUGCCUCCCGUAGGAGUCUGGGCCGUGUCUCAGUCCCAAUGUGGCCGAUCACCCUCUCAGGUCGGCUACGCAUCGUCGCCUUGGUGAGCCGUUACCUCACCAACUAGCUAAUGCGCCGCGGGCCCAUCUCAUAGCGGAUUACUCCUUUAAUUGCUACUUCAUGCGAAGCUACAAUCUUAUGCGGUAUUAAUCUCCCUUUCGGAAGGCUAUUCCCCUCUAUGAGGUAGGUUGCCCACGUGUUACUCACCCGUUCGCCGCUAGCUUUGUUCCGAAGAACUCCACUCGCUCGACUUGCAUGUGUUAGGCACGCCGCCAGCGUCGUCCUGUAGCCAGGACUCGAAACUCU
rnacentral:rRNA from 1 species